UACGUAGGGUGCAAGCGUUAAUCGGAAUUACUGGGCGUAAAGGGCGCGUAGGCGGCUUAUCAAGUCAGGCGUGAAAUUCCCGGGCUCAACCUGGGGGCUGCGCUUGAUACUGAUGAGCUUGAAUGCGGGAGAGGAUAGUGGAAUUCCCAGUGUAGAGGUGAAAUUCGUAGAUAUUGGGAAGAACACCGGUGGCGAAGGCGGCUAUCUGGCCCGUAAUUGACGCUGAGGCGCGAAAGCGUGGGGAGCAAACAGG
rnacentral:rRNA from 1 species